GCAAGUGUGUCGAAAUUGGUAUACGAAGCGUAUUUAGGAUGCGCUGACUUAAAAGGUCAUGAGGGUUCAAGUCCCUCCACUUGUA